AUUGAACGCUGGCGGCAGGCUUAACACAUGCAAGUCGAGCGGGGAAGGGUAGCUUGCUACCUGACCUAGCGGCGGACGGGUGAGUAAUGCUUAGGAAUCUGCCUAUUAGUGGGGGACAACAUUCCGAAAGGAAUGCUAAUACCGCAUACGCCCUACGGGGGAAAGCAGGGGAUCUUCGGACCUUGCGCUAAUAGAUGAGCCUAAGUCAGAUUAGCUAGUUGGUGGGGUAAAGGCCUACCAAGGCGACGAUCUGUAGCGGGUCUGAGAGGAGGGUCCGCAACACUGGGACUGAAACACGGCCCAGACUCCUACGGGAGGCAGCAGUGGGGAAUAUUGGACAAUGGGCGAAAGCCUGAUCCAGCCAUGCCGCGUGCGUGAAGAAGGCCUUUUGGUUGUAAAGCACUUUAAGCGAGGAGGAGGCUACUUGGAUUAAUACCUAGGGAUAGUGGACGUUACUCGCAGAAUAAGCACCGGCUAACUCUGUGCCAGCCGCCGCCGUAA
rnacentral:rRNA from 1 species